rnacentral:tRNA from 1 species
UUCUAAUAUGGCAGAUUAGUGCAAUGGAUUUAAGCUCCAUAUAUAAAGUAAUUACUUUUAUUAGAAG